ACUGUUCAAUCAUCCACUUUCCACACGCAACAUCAGCUCACGGGUACCAUAGAUAACUUUGCCAAAGAUCUCUGACAAAGUUUAGAGACGUGAAGGUUGCAGCUCCCAUUACAUUGCUAUAACCAAGAAGGGUAAAAGAAUAGCAAAGAAACAGCACUAACAAAGUUUAGACACAUAAAUUUUGAAGGUCUAGCUACCAUAUUAUUACCCACAAGGGUAAAGGAACAUGACCAUUGCUGGAUAAUUGGAAAGUCCCUGUGUGUCAACCUCUGUGCUCCGUG
rnacentral:lncRNA from 1 species